rnacentral:rRNA from 1 species
GACGAACGCUGGCGGCGUGCUUAACACGUGCAAGUCGAACGGAAAGGCCCUGCUUUUGUGGGGUGCUCGAGUGGCGAACGGGUGAGUAACACGUGAGUAACCUGCCCUUGACUUUGGGAUAACUUCAGGAAACUGGGGCUAAUACCGGAUAGGAGCUCCUGCUGCAUGGUGGGGGUUGGAAAGUUUCGGCGGUUGGGGAUGGACUCGCGGCUUAUCAGCUUGUUGGUGGGGUAGUGGCUUACCAAGGCUUUGACGGGUAGCCGGCCUGAGAGGGUGACCGGCGACAUUGGGACUGAGAUACGGCCCAGACUCCUACGGGAGGCAGCAGUGGGGAAUAUUGCACAAUGGGCGGAAGCCUGAUGCAGCAACGCCGCGUGCGGGAUGACGGCCUUCGGGUUGUAAACCGCUUUCGCAUGUGACGAAGCGUGAGUGACGGUAAUGGGUAAAGAAGCACCGGCUAACUACGUG